rnacentral:rRNA from 1 species
AGGACAAACGCUGGCGGCGUGCUUAACACAUGCAAGUCGAACGGUCUUCCUUCGGGAAGAUAGUGGCGGACGGGUGAGUAACACGUAGAUAACCUACCCUUAUGUGGGGAAUAACCCCUCGAAAGAGGAGCUAAUACCGCAUGAGUUCUCUGUUGUUAGACGGAGAAGAAACCUCGGUUUAUACCUGGGGCAUGAGGAGGGGUCUGCGGCGGAUUAGCUAGUUGGUGGAGGUAAUGGCUCCCCAAGGCAACGAUCCGUAGCUGGUCUGAGAGGACGGCCAGCCACACUGGGACUGAGACACGGCCCAGACUCCUACGGGAGGCAGCAGUGGGGAAUAUUGCGCAAUGGGCGGAAGCCUGACGCAGCGACGCCGCGUGAAUGAUGAAGGUCUUAGGAUUGUAAAAUUCUUUCACCGGGGACGAUAAUGACGGUACCCGGAGAAGAAGCCCCGGCUAACUUCGUGCCAGCAGCCGC